rnacentral:rRNA from 1 species
CCUACGGGCGGCAGCAGUGAGGAAUAUUGGUCAAUGGCCGGAAGGCUGAACCAGCCAAGUCGCGUGAGGGACGACUGCCCUAUGGGUUGUAAACCUCUUUUAUAAGGGAAGAAUAAAUGCUACGUGUAGCAUGAUGCCUGUACCUUAUGAAUAAGCAUCGGCUAACUCCGUGCCAGCAGCCGCGGUAAUACGGAGGAUGCGAGCGUUAUCCGGAUUUAUUGGGUUUAAAGGGUGCGUAGGCGGUUUUUUAAGUUAGUGGUUAAACGUCGGGGCUUCACCUUGAUUUGCCAUUAAUACUGUAAGACUCGAGUUCAGACGAGGGAGGCGGAAUAAGUUAAGUAGCGGUGAAAUGCUUAGAUAUAACUUAGAACUCCGAUAGCGAAGGCAGCUUACCGGACUGCGACUGACGCUGAAGCACGAGAGCGUGGGUAGCGAACAGGAUUAGAUACCCCAGUAGUC